CCUACGGGUGAGCAGCAGUGGGGAAUAUUGGACAAUGGGCGAAAGCCUGAUCCAGCCAUGCCGCGUGUGUGAAGAAGGCCUUCGGGUUGUAAAGCACUUUCAGUGGGGAAGAAAGCCUUGGGGCUAAUACCCUCGAGGAAGGACAUCACCCACAGAAGAAGCACCGGCUAACUCCGUGCCAGCAGCCGCGGUAAUACGGAGGGUGCGAGCGUUAAUCGGAAUUACUGGGCGUAAAGCGCGCGUAGGCGGUCUGAUAAGCCGGUUGUGAAAGCCCCGGGCUCAACCUGGGAACGGCAUCCGGAACUGUCAGGCUAGAGUGCAGGAGAGGAAGGUAGAAUUCCCGGUGUAGCGGUGAAAUGCGUAGAGAUCGGGAGGAAUACCAGUGGCGAAGGCGGUCUUCUGGACUGACACUGACGCUGAGGUGCGAAAGCGUGGGUAGCAAACAGGAUUAGAUACCCCAGUAGUC
rnacentral:rRNA from 1 species